rnacentral:rRNA from 1 species
CAAGCAGGCGGCCCUGCAAGUCAGAUGUGAAAUCCCUCGGCUCAACCGAGGAACUGCAUCUGAAACUGCAGGGCUUGAGUUCGGGAGAGGUGAGCGGAAUUCCCGGUGUAGCGGUGAAAUGCGUUGAUAUCGGGAGGAACGUCGGUGGCGAAGGCGGCUCACUGGACCGAUACUGACGCUCAGAGGCGAAAGCGUAGGGGAGCGAACG